rnacentral:lncRNA from 1 species
CAAUCUCUCACUUGCACUAAAGCCAAUCGCCUUUGUAUCUCAUACAAUCAAGAUGGCGAUUAAAUAGCUACUGUGGUAUGGCCUUAGUGAGUAGGUCUGCUAUAUUAUUUUUGUAUCUACUCGUUCAAAGACAACAUCUUAUCACUCUUUUAUAAAUGAGACGAAAGUGUCUAAGGAUGUACUUGGAUUUGUAAUGAGACCUAGAUUCCUUAGAUUGAAUAAUGG